rnacentral:misc_RNA from 1 species
AAAAAAAAAAAAAAAAAAAAGCAACGAAUAAAAGGGCCUCUUUAUCGACAAGAAAGAAAGAGAGAGAAAGAAGAAAGAGAAGGGAGUUGUUUGGUUCCUGGGAAUCUCUGUCUUCCCCUCUUUCUCUUCUCUUUGUUCUCGUUAAACUUUACCUAGAAAACGCAAGAAGAGCGAAGAAAGUCAGGAAAUUUUGAGAGACAAAAAGAAAGGGAGAAGGAAAAUAAUUCUGAGAUUUUUUUUUUUGAGUUUGUAUUAAAUUGGAAAAAGAAAUUGUGAAUUUCUGGGCUAUUAUGGAGUUGGAUGGUAUCGACUGUGUGUCAUCCUCUGAUGGGUUGGAUGAGGAUGAGAUCCAUCACCACAAUCUUCAUCAUCACCACCAUCAAUUUUCUUCAUCAAAGCCUCACAAUGCCGGCGCCAAUAAUAACAAUAACAUCAACAAUGUCGUCGGUCCCGUUGGAAUCGCUCCAGCCACCAGCGUCCAUGAGUUGCUAGAAUGCCCUGUUUGCACCAAUUCUAUGUACCCACCCAUCCAUCAGUGUCAUAAUGGGCACACACUGUGUUCUACCUGUAAAACAAGGGUACACAAUAGGUGCCCCACUUGUCGGCAGGAGCUCGGGGAUAUUAGGUGUUUAGCUCUAGAGAAGGUGGCUGAGUCACUUGAAUUGCCAUGCAAAUAUUGCAACUUGGGGUGUCCGGAGAUAUUCCCAUAUUACAGUAAACUCAAGCAUGAGGUAGUUUGCAACUUCAGACCAUAUAAUUGCCCAUAUGCUGGAUCAGAAUGCUCUAUUGUUGGAGAUAUUCCUUUCCUUGUUUCUCAUUUGAGGGACGAUCACAAGGUGGACAUGCACACAGGAUGCUCUUUCAACCAUCGUUAUGUUAAGUCAAAUCCCCACGAGGUGGAGAAUGCAACUUGGAUGCUGACGGUCUUUCAUUGUUUUGGCCGAUACUUCUGCCUUCACUUUGAAGCCUUUCAGCUUGGUAUGGCCCCCGUUUACAUGGCUUUCCUUCGUUUCAUGGGUGAUGAGACGGAGGCUCGUAGAUACAGCUAUAGCCUUGAGGUUGGGGCAAAUGGCAGGAAACUCAUCUGGGAGGGUUCCCCACGAAGCAUCCGAGAUAGCCAUCGGAAGGUGAGGGAUAGUCAUGAUGGUCUGAUUAUUCAACGAAACAUGGCACUUUUCUUUUCUGGAGGUGAUAGGAAAGAACUAAAGCUUAGAGUUACUGGAAGGAUAUGGAAGGAACAACAAAGUCCUGAAGCUUCUGUGUGCAUACCAAACGUCUGUAGCUAAACAUGUGAUUUUGAUAACACUUUCAAGAUUUGUGUGGUUGAGAGUAUUUUGUGUUUGUGAAAACCUAAGUUUGAGAGCCAAAAUCUUUAAAAUGGCAAAUUCC